rnacentral:lncRNA from 1 species
AUUUUGUUAGUCUUACGUUGAUUUGUUAUAUUUUCUCAAAUUUGUGCUUUAAAGUAAACAGAAGAACAUCGAAAAAUACUGCAUAUAACAGAAGAAAGUUGAUACAUGUAUAUCAUGAAAUUAUGUAUUUUCAUACAAACUUGCAAGUGAAAAUAUAGGUAGGCCUGAGAAGAUCAAUCAAAUUGGUGAGUCAAAGUGUAUGGCAGAACAAGGUGGUUGUUACAGGCUGUAUGCUGUAAAGAUAUGGAGGCAUUGAAGAGCCUGCAUUGCACAGAGGUGCAUAUGUUGCACAGACUGUAGAAUCUGAAUUUUAAAGUAUAUUCCAAUCAGUGUUUGCAGCUGCUGUUGAAUCAGUUUCUGAGAUAUCCUAUAGACAAUUUGCAUAAACUAGCAGUGAUAGAGAAAUCUCUAUGCAAGCAAUCUGCAAUUGAUAUAGAUGAAAUGAUUGACAUUUAUCAAAAUGACCUGGUGCCAUUAGAAUCAAAGAACUGUGUGAAAUAUGAAAUUGAACAUGUGCACAGUGUCAUCGGCAAGAACUUUCCAGAUUCAUCAGAGAUUUCCGUACAUUAUUUUUGUGAAGCAGUGUGCAACAAUCCUGUGCUGAAGGAUGUUUGUCCAUCAGUUUUAACCAUGUUCAAAAUCUAUAUGGUGGCUCCAGUGACUACAUGUACUGCUGAAAAGUUACUUGCCCCUCACCAUCUCACAGUCUCGUGUGAAUCAUUUUGUUUGUCUCUAUAUCUUGAAGAACGAUGUGGAUGAAUUGCAUCUACCAAAAUUUAUUAACAACUUUAUUAGUCAUAGUACAGAAAUUUGAAUUGCAGUGAUGAGCCAAAUGACCCUUUUGUUAUCCAUUGAAAUAGAAUAUUUUUCCUUAAUAUGUUUAUUUUAAAUGUUUUGUUUUGAUACAUAUCUAUCAGCCAGCAAUUCAUGAGCUAUAGCUUACAGGAGCCAGCUUUUUGAUUUAUUGAAGAUGUAACCAAACUAUUAGAAGACAGAAAAUCAAGAUUCGUUUACUUCAUAAAGUAUCAUCAACACUUUUCUUAUAGUAUUCAUAUACUUUAUCAAAAUUUCAUGCCAUAUUUUGCUGUUAAGUUAAUUUUUUAUAUUCAGUUUUUUAAUGUUCUGUAAGCUCCCUAUUUUUUGUGAUCAAGCUGAUGAAAAACUUUUGAUACAAUCAUGUUUGAUGAACAUCAGUUACAAUAUUUUAAAGGAUUUGUAAGGCAUGAGAUGUUCAGUCCUAUUCAUUAAUGUAAUCUAAAAUAUAUGUUCAUAAGUUAUUUCCAGAACUUUGGGGAACACCUGUCGUAUUUUCUAAAAGACACCAUUAGCUCUGAUGUUUUGAUAGUGGAUUGUUGAUCAAUAUGUGUACGAGUAUUUUAUAGGUUUUGGUUCUUUAACUGUGAGGGAAAUUCAUUAACAUUCUCAGGCCGAGCUGAAUUAUUUGUUGGUGAAAGUGGUCUUCUGUCACCUUAUCUUAAUUUCUUGUUAUUCUAUCUUUGUUACUUGUAUUAGAAUUUUCUUCAAAUGUUUUUUAGCAUCAGUUAACUGAUGGGAUUAUGUAUGAAUAUUGUUGUACAUCCAAAAUACAGCUAGAAAUACCUAAGUCUAAUGUCAUCAGCAAAGUACUACUAAUGUAUUUGUCAAUAUUAGUAAUGUAAAUAAGGAAAAGCAGGCCCAUGUACUGACCCAUGACACACUAUUUGUAAUGCAAGCCCAAUUUGACCAGGCUCCAUUAAUAACAAAUAUUAGCUCUUUUUCUCAUGCUGCCAUCCUAUAAUCCAGUAAACUAAGUUUUUCACCAACCCCUGCUAAUUGAAUUAGAGAUUUUUUCAAAUGUUCUUUCAGCAUCAAUGUACUAAACUGAUUAUGUAUGAAACUGUGACUUUUAGUUACUUAAUGAGUAGAUGGUAUGUAAUUUAUUUUUAAAACUUGCAUGAAUAUUUAUGCCAACUCGUUAAUGAUGAGUUCUCAUCAUAAGGAAUGUAGUUGUGGGUAUGUAUGUAUAUUCAUGUAUACAUAUCUGAGAAAGAUGCACUAUGAACAGUAAUGAGUUCACUAAGAAAAUCUUGGUGCCAGUCACAUAUAACCAUUUGUACAUUUUAUGAUUAAUGUCAGACAUGGCAUAAUCUAGUAUCAAAUAAACACCCAUUGAAAAUCCAUUUAAAACAAUAUUUUUGUGAUGGAAAUAGUUAUAUACUGUAAUAUAUACACUCAUAUGUUUUGCAUGAAAUGUUCCUCCUCUUUCCCUUCCCUCUAAAAUGUUAUUCUGUAGUAUGUAAUGAAAAGAAAAUCAUGUAUUAUAUCAAAAUAUCUGAAUAAAGUAAAAUGUAUCUUAUGUAUUCAGCAGUAAAAAACAAAACAAAUUUUGAACUGCAAAAUUUUGUACGAGAGUGUCUUCUAUUUAUGAUUUUAAGAAGUGUUUUACUGGUUAACAAUUUUUAAUAUAGAAAAAUCAUUCAUAUUUCACUUGAAGGAAUGUUACAUUUUGUCUGAGGUGUCUAUUUAACUUACUUUUGUGUCUUCCUAUGGCUUGUUUUCAUCAGUAUCUAUUGAAUUUGUGGUGUAUAUGUACUCUUUGAAGAAAUAAAUAUCUUAUGUAAAAUAAUACUGUCAGCCUAGUGUUUGUUGUUUUUAUUGCUAGUUCUGAUUAAGAGAAAUACUAUUUUUAAACUCUUGAGUUUUAGAGUAAAAUUUAUACACUGGAUUAACCACGCUAUGAUAGUAUGUAUUAAUUUUUUAAAACUGCAUGUAUGGUAUUAUUACUACCAGAUAGAUGCAGCUAGUAUACAAAACCUGUGUAUUAAAUUUUACAUAGUUGUGCUUAAACCGAUAUAGUAUUACUAUCAUGGAAAUACAGAGAAGAUUAAUCUUUGACAAACUUUACAUAAAUGAAUAUAAAUUGUGAACAUAUUGAAAUGCCAGAUACACCAUUUUGUCACACCUGCAUAUCUUGCAUAUUAUUGAAACUGAACUGGUGUACAUGUAUAUAAACUCCAAAUGACACAUGGAAUCUAAUUUCAUGCAUGUCUGUAGUCGUACAAUCAUUGGUUAUCAAGUGUGGGUCUAACAGUGUGUAUAAGUUUAACAUUUUGUGUUCACAAACUAAUGUUAAAAGUAAUUGUAUCUGUUUUGAAAGGAGGAACGAGGUUGCUCUAUUUAUUUGCAGCCAUCUGUGGCUUUAUUGCAAGUGUGUACUGUAUCUGUGACCUGAGGCAACUGUAGUCGUGGUGUUUUGUUUCCAACAGGGUCUGAAAAUGAGUAUGAAGAAACUCUUGAGGGCUUGGAAGAAGGAAGAAACUCUACACAGUGCCCUCAUUGCAGGAAAACGUUUUUUAAUGCUUCAUCCCUGAGAAGACACGUCGAAAUUCAUUUUGUGCAGCGAAAGAACUAUAGAUGUCACUUGUGCCAGAAGGUGUUUUCAUGGAAAACCACAUUAAGUUCACAUAUGAAAAAGGACCAUAAAUUACGCAUGAGAUUUUAAAUUUCAUACACUUAGAUGAAAACAACAAGUGAUAUUAAUCUGUCUUUAUUCUUUGAAGUGGUUUGUAAUGGACUACAGUAGGUAUAUAAAGAAACAUUUUACUUAUUAUACAUAUUAGUGCCUGUUUCAUUUUGAAUGUUCACUUUUCUUUUUUACAUAAUUACUGUUUUUUUAUUGUGUCAUGAUGGUAAUAAAAAUAAUAACCAUUUACAACUUUGAAGCUACUUUUCUCUCCAACACAGUUUUAAGAAUGAUGAAUACUAUUAAUCAAUUGAAAUAGCACUGUUUACUAUUUGCAAGUUUGUAACAAGUUUUGUCUUAAUGCUCAGGCAUAAUCUACCUCAGUGUUUAUUGUUGUGUUUACAUAUUCUGAUGUUCUUUUUAUCUAUUAUGAUGAAAUUAUUGUUAUUAUUUUAUAAGCUCUAUGUUCUCACUCUUGUAUACUUUCUGUUCCAAAAGAAAAGGAGAACGCUUUUCCCAAAGCUAAGACCAUUUUUACUUAUCUGUAAAUUUCAUUUUUUUGUUCUUUGUAUCUGCAUACCCCAACUUGUUGAUAAACUCAAAAAUAUUUCCUUUUUUCUCCCUCCUUUUUUUAUAUUUUUGUCAGCAUGUAUUUUUCAUUUUGUUUGUCCUGGCCAAAAUAGUAGUCUAGAUUUUAAGUUGUUAUGUUUAAGGUAUGUGGUUGUUUUUUUAAUAAAUUGAAAAUACCUUAACUUUUUUACCCUACAGUUUUUUAGUCAUCUAUAAUAUUAAUAUUGUAAAUGUGACUGAAAGCUUGUCACAUGCAUUAUAUGGAGCACUCAUUUAACACUCCUAUUGAGUUAUAAAUACAGAACAAACUUUCAACCAACAUGAGGGUCCAAGUAACAUUGACUUUGUGGCUCAGUAUUCUAUGUGAGUAAGAACCAAGACAGGAUGAAAGUCAGUCACAAUGAUAUUUUUAAAUUUACUUGAUUAGUGAAACAAUUGUUUUUUUAUUUCAUUAUUGUUUUGAACUGCUAAAAAUAAUCAUGAGAAAAAGUGUUUCCAAUCCUUACUUUCAGAAUGAGUAAUUAUAAGAUCUGAGACAGGCACUUUAUCAAAAUUUCUACAGGUUUAGACAUCAUUAUUUUAAAGUGAAAUCCAGACACAUAGAGAAAAAAUCCAAGUAGCUAAGUUAAAGGCUGUUUGUGAUAGAUUUUGUUCUAACAACAAAAUUUGACCCAAGGUGGUGUGACUUAUGUUUUACUUCUACAUUAAACAUCAACAUAGUUCAGCAUCAACAGAAAGUAUCUUGUACUAGGUGAGUCGUGUGUAUGAUAUUAUAUGAUGUAGUGUUCGUGCUCUUAUAUAAGUAAGUGGCCUAAACUUUAUUCCCUGUUAGAAAGUGAACUAAAUAAAAAAAAACACGAUGUAUGUUUGAAAGUACAGUUACUUAUACUUGACGAAAGUGUGUGGACUAUGAUAUACUCUUGAAGGUGGUUUGAUGUUUUAGGUUAUUUUUAUUAUAAUUCAUCCAUAAGGAUUACAGUUUUUCCUAUUAAAUUUGUUUGUACACAUGUACUGUUUUCUCAGAUUUGGUUCAUUGAAAUGUCGAUGUAAUUUAAUUAAAGCAACCAGGCUGUUACCAGUAGAUGUAGACAUUUUGGUGUCAUAUGACUGGAUACUCCAAAUUUAUUUUCUGUAUAAUACAAAACCUGCAGGUUGUUUUUGAUUCAUCUGAAUUUUUAAUAUUGUUUUUUAAAGU